rnacentral:rRNA from 1 species
GAUGAACGCUGGCGGCGUGCCUAAUACAUGCAAGUCUAGCGAACAGACGAGGAGCUUGCUCCUCUGACGUUAGCGGCGGACGGGUGAGUAACACGUGGAUAACCUACCUAUAAGACUGGGAUAACUUCGGGAAACCGGAGCUAAUACCGGAUAACAUGUUGAACCGCAUGGUUUAACAGUGAAAGACGGUCUUGCUGUCACUUAUAGAUGGAUCCGCGCCGCAUUAGCUAGUUGGUAAGGUAACGGCUUACCAAGGCAACGAUGCGUAGCCGACCUGAGAGGGUGAUCGGCCACACUGGAACUGAGACACGGUCCAGACUCCUACGGGAGGCAGCAGUAGGGAAUCUUCCGCAAUGGGCGAAAGCCUGACGGAGCAACGCCGCGUGAGUGAAGAAGGUCUUCGGAUCGUAAAACUCUGUUAUUAGGGAAGAACAAAUGCGUAAGUAACUAUGCACGUCUUGACGGUACCUAAUCAGAAAGCCACGGCUAACUACGUG